GACGAACGCUGGCGGCGUGCUUAACACAUGCAAGUCGAGCGGUAAGGCCCUUUCGGGGGUACACGAGCGGCGAACGGGUGAGUAACACGUGGGUGACCUGCCCUCAGCUCUGGGAUAAGCCUGGGAAACCGGGUCUAAUACCGGAUAUGACUCCAUGACGCAUGUUGUGGGGUGGAAAGCCUUGUGCGGCUGAGGAUGGGCCCGCGGCCUAUCAGCUUGUUGGUGGGGUGAUGGCCUACCAAGGCGACGACGGGUAGCCGGCCUGAGAGGGCGACCGGCCACACUGGGACUGAGACACGGCCCAGACUCCUACGGGAGGCUGCAGUCGAGGAUCUUUAGCAAUGCCCGAAAGGGUGACUAUGCGACGCCGCGUGCAGGAUGAAGGCC
rnacentral:rRNA from 1 species